AGCCGCGAAAUUCGCCCUUACUCCUACGGGAGGCAGCAGUGGGGAAUUUUCCGCAAUGGGCGAAAGCCUGACGGAGCAAUACCGCGUGAGGGAGGAAGGCUCUUGGGUUGUAAACCUCUUUUCUCAGGGAAGAACAGAAUGACGGUACCUGAGGAAUAAGCAUCGGCUAACUCCGUGCCAGCAGCCGCGGUAAUACGGAGGAUGCAAGCGUUAUCCGGAAUGAUUGGGCGUAAAGGGUCCGCAGGUGGCAUUGAAAGUCUGCUGUUAAAGAGUCUAGCUCAACUAGAUAAAAGCAGUGGAAACUACAAAGCUAGAGUUUGGUCGGGGCAGAGGGAAUUCCUGGUGUAGCGGUGAAAUGCGUAGAUAUCAGGAAGAACACCAGUGGCGAAGGCGCUCUGCUAGGCCGAGACUGACACUGAGGGACGAAAGCUAGGGGAGCGAAUGGGAUUAGAUACCCCAGUAGUCCUAGCCGUAAACGAUGGAUACUAGGCGUAGCUCGUAUCGACCCGAGCUGUGCCGGAGCUAACGCGUUAAGUAUCCCGCCUGGGGAGUACGCAGGCAACUGUGAAACUCAAAGGAAUUGACGGGGGCCCGCACAAGCGGUGGAGUAUGUGGUUUAAUUCGAUGCAACGCGAAGAACCUUACCAAGGCUUGACAUGUCACGAAUCCUGUAGAAAUAUAGGAGUGCCUUCGGGAGCGUGAAGACAGGUGGUGCAUGGCUGUCGUCAGCUCGUGUCGUGAGAUGUUGGGUUAAGUCCCGCAACGAGCGCAACCCUCGUUUUUAGUUGCCAGCAUUAGGUUGGGCACUCUAGAGAGACUGCCGGUGACAAACCGGAGGAAGGUGGGGAUGACGUCAAGUCAGCAUGCCCCUUACGUCUUGGGCUACACACGUACUACAAUGCUACGGACAAAGGGCAGCUACACAGCGAUGUGAUGCGAAUCUCAUAAACCGUAGCUCAGUUCAGAUCGAAGGCUGCAACUCGCCUUCGUGAAGGAGGAAUCGCUAGUAAUUGCAGGUCAGCAUACUGCAGUGAAUUCGUUCCCGGGCCUUGUACACACCGCCCGUCACACCAUGGAAGUUGGUCACGCCCGAAGUCGUUACCCCAACCGAAAGGGGGGGGAUGCCUAAGGUAGGACUGAUGACUGGGGUGAAGUCGUAACAAGGUAGCCGUACCGGAAGGUGUGGCUGGAUCACCUCCUUUUAGGGAGACCUAAUCCAUUUAGAAAUCGAAAACAAUGAAAAUUGUCAAUAGAAACUAAAUUGGUCUAACCUAGGUCGGUCGAGAUUGGUAGAUAUCUUUCAAAGUAUUAUUCGGCUUUGUUCAAAACCAUAGAUAAUAAAUGGAAAAAAGACAGCACCUAAUUGUCAAAGUUAGACUGCUGGAUGAAAUUCCAGCCAGAACCUUGAAAACUGCAUAAGAGAACGAGAAAAAGCAGGCAGACACAGACAUUUAGAUGGAUGUGAAAGCAAAAGAAAUUGUGGUCAAGCUAAUAAGGGCUAAUGGUGGAUACCUWGGCACACAGAGGCGADG
rnacentral:rRNA from 1 species